GUAGGUGGCAAGCGUUGUCCGGAAUUAUUGGGCGUAAAGCGCGCGCAGGCGGUUCUUUAAGUCUGAUGUGAAAGCCCACGGCUCAACCGUGGAGGGUCAUUGGAAACUGGAGAACUUGAGUACAGUAGAGGAAAGCGGAAUUCCACGUGUAGCGGUGAAAUGCGUAGAGAUGUGGAGGAACACCAGUGGCGAAGGCGGCUUUCUGGUCUGUAACUGACGCUGAGGCGCGAAAGCGUGGGGAGCAAACAGGAUUAGAUACCCUGGUAGUCCACGCCGUAAACGAUGAGUGCUAAGUGUUAGGGGGGUUUCCGCCCCCCUUAGUGCUGCAGCUAACGCAUUAAGCACUCCGCCUGGGAGUACGGCCGCAAGGCUG
rnacentral:rRNA from 1 species